AUUGAACGCUGGCGGCAGGCCUAACACAUGCAAGUCGAGCGGAUGAAGGGAGCUUGCUCCUGGAUUCAGCGGCGGACGGGUGAGCAAUGCCUAGGAAUCUGCCUGGUAGUGGGGGAUAACGUCCGGAAACGGGCGCUAAUACCGCAUACGUCCUGAGGGAGAAAGUGGGGGAUCUUCGGACCUCACGCUAUCAGAUGAGCCUAGGUCGGAUUAGCUAGUUGGUGGGGUAAGGGCCUACCAAGGCGACGAUCCGUAACUGGUCUGAGAGGAUGAUCAGUCACACUGGAACUGAGACACGGUCCAGACUCCUACGGGAGGCAGCAGUGGGGAAUAUUGGACAAUGGGCGAAAGCCUGAUCCAGCCAUGCCGCGUGUGUGAAGAAGGUCUUCGGAUUGUAAAGCACUUUAAGUUGGGAGGAAGGGCAGUAAGUUAAUACCUUGCUGUUUUGACGUUACCAACAGAAUAAGCACCGGCUAACUUCGUG
rnacentral:rRNA from 1 species